rnacentral:lncRNA from 1 species
GCCGCUCCCUCAGCAUAUGGAGGUUCCCAGGCUAGGGGUCUAAUCAGAGCUACAGCUGCUGGCCUGAGACACAGCCACAGCAACGUGGGAUCCGAGCUGCGUUUGCAACCUACACCACAGCUCACGGCAACGCUGGAUCCUCAACCCACUGAGCAAGGCCAGGGAUCAAACCUACAACCUAGGACUUGCAAUCCUAGUCAGAUUCAUUAGCCACUGCACCACGACGGGAACUCCUCUAAAUAUUUUUUUUUUUUAGGACUGUGCUCUUCUGAUUAUAGAUGAUGCUGUAGACAUGGGACUCACGAGGACACCACAGAUACAGGUAGAUUGGAUCAUAAAUUUCAGCGCACCAUAGAUUAUACCAUUUUGUAAUGACAAAAAAAUUAUUUGUAAAAUGAAGACAAGUUAAAUUUAAACACAUACUUUUCUAUUUCAGGAGCACGAGUCAUCAAUGUUUAAGUGUUAAGUCAGAAAGACAAACCAGAGCGGGGACAUAAGACGAAUGCAGAACCGAAUCUCAAUCCGACACGCGUGCCCCCGAGACUUCACACCUGCGCCACAUGGAGGACAUAUGUGGCCCUAAGGUUUCCAGCAGCCCGUGGCAAAAAGGGCUGCCCGAGCAAGUCCCCAGUUCUGACCUCAGACAGGAAGACACCAGUUAAGAAGGUCUGACGCUGCCUGACGCUGGGCCCAGAUGAACGUUUCUCACGGAGAUCUUACCUGAAGGCCAGCUCUGCUGGCGGCAAGGGGAGUUUUUCUGAUGGCCUGAGCUGACUGGCCUGAGCUGACCAGCCUGGUCUCACAGACAGCUCACCACCACCCCUCGGGCUUGCCAAGCCAGGAACACACAUCCCCCAGGGCAGAGCUGCCCCAGGUCCCCCCUGUCUAUCAUUUGUACCCCAUCCUCUCAUGGCCCUUCUGCUGACAACUGGUCAACCUCUAGUUUCUUUCCUGUCUAGUCCUACCAGUUCAACCCAGGAUUUAGCUACUUUCCCAGCUCCCCAUCCUAGACGUGGCCCCUUGCACACAGCUGAGCCUUUUCCCUUUAUGGUGGUGGAAGUUUCUGCAAUCCGGUCAGUCGGUCACCAAAGUUCCUGUGCUUGCUUACGGCCUGGGCUGGCCCCCCUCCCAUUACCUUCUGCCCCUUCUCACCAGUCAUUCUCCAGUGAAAUCAGAGAAAAUAAACAGUUGCUGCCACCUAGAGAAGUGCACCUCAAAGCAGGUGCCCCGAUCAGGGCCAGUCCACUCGGUCCACCAAGAGAGCCAAAGUUUUGAUGGUGUCACCAGGAUGGCCAAGCACGGGAGCACUGGACUUGCUCCUUGUGGGGAGUACAGACUAGUGUGGCUGCCUCAAGGUGACUUACAUGUGGGCUGAGCUCCUACCAGUCAUAAACCGGAGAACCGCCUCUCAGCACCGGAUGGCUUGGAAAUCUCUAAAACGUCUUUCUCUGAGUUGGUUUGGAAGCACAAUAUGGAGCUUUGCAACCAGUCUCUUGUCCGAGUAUGACAGCACCAUCAGGGAUUGAGAUCUUACUACUUCCCGGGGACUGUCCAUGACACAUUGCGUGUGUUUUCUCAUGGAACCACACCCAUCCCAGGAGGUGAGUCCUACUCUCAUAAUCCCCGUUUCCUGACUAACACAACAGCAUCCCAGGGUAGUUCCGCGUCUUACUCUAGGUCUUGCAGGUGGCUCUGGUGAAUCAGGAAUUCACACCCAGAUCUGUUUGAACCUGAAACCCAUGCAUUUACUAUUGCCCUUCACAGAGUGUCAGGGCAAUGUCUGCUGAACUUCAGGAACUGGCAGGAAACCUCUGGCUGUUUCCUCUUUAUGAGGAAGAAGUAAGAAGUAGCCUCCUCCCCUGCCUUCCCUAUUUCAGCUCUUUACAGAGAGAGCUUGUUAUUCCUGAUUUAAAAACAAUUGUUCCCAUGGAAACACCCUGGCAGCUUCUCUUAGCAACCAUGGCCACCUUUCACCAAUUUAACAAAGUUGGUUCAAACACAAAAUUGCUUUUUUGAAAGUUUUCAGAGCAAAACCAAACUGACCAGUUGACCAGAGCUUAACUUCAUAUACACCUUAAGAAAAUCAUGGCAAAUUUUGUAGGCCAUGAGAAAGUGGUUUUUCUAGGAAAACGGAGCAGGUGUGCAGUUCUGGAUAGUGUUUUAAAUCUAAAACAUGAUAUGAAAACUCUCAAAUGGGACAUUUUCUUCUGGUUGACAAAAGGUUCACAAAUUGAGAGUAUUUAAGGUUUAUAGAUUGUAUUAGUUCCCUGUUGCGGCUGCAACAAAUUGUUGCCAAUUUUAUAUUUAGUUUUGUUUUGUUUAAAAAACCCCAAAUUUAACAGCUUACAGUUCUGUAGAUCACAUGUCUGACACGGAAGUCACCAGGGUCAGAACAAGGUGCUGGCAGGGUGCGUUGCCUGUAUAGAAGGUCUAAGAGAGAUCCCUUUUCUAGCCUUUUCAAGCUUCUAGAAGCUGCCUGCCUGUCCUGCCUCAUGGCCGCCUUCUCCUCCUUCAAAGGCAGCAACAUUGAUCUGAGUCCUCAGGCUGCUGUCUCUCUGGCAUCUCUUGCAAUCCCCUCUUCCCCCUUUAAGGACCGACCCUGUGAUUACAUCGGCCUCUCAGGUAAUCCAGGCUAAUCCCUCUAUUUCGGGGUCAUCUGAUUGACAACCUUCAUGCCAUCUGCACCCUUAAAUCCUGUUUGCCAUGUAACCUAACACAUUCACAGGUUCCAGAGAUUAGGGUGGGGCGUCUUGGGAGAGCUAGUUUUUUUCUCGGCCACGGUGGCUAUAGCAGCCUAUGCAGGUGUCCCUCACGAGUAAGAGAAUGGUGGGGUGUCUACUCCCCUCACUCCUCCUUGUGUCCAGAAGCCCAGCGUCUUCUCACCUCAACCACCAUGGAUCUCUUUGGCCUCUUCCUUUUGUGCAUUCUGGCUUUCGGCUAGAAUAAGAAAAAAAAAGUGUGGCCCAAAGUCUUUCCCCUAAUCUUUACCCCCAACAGCAAUGCUCAGUGCCGAGAAGAGGGUGGUGGAGAAACACUAGGCCACCUAAGCAGGUAUUCCAUGGUGAUGGGGGCUGGUGCUGGGGAGAUGAUGAGGUUGCCCAGGAGGGCGAGCUGGGCUGGAGCAGUUCCGACUCAGAGCUGCUGACAUUUGCAGACGACCGUGAUGGAUGCUGAAGAAAGGGCCACCUCUGUGAAGUGCAAACCUUCCCUGAAGCACGGCGGCAAUGACUCCAUAAAGACGUUUACGUAGCAGGACAGAAAACAAAUCCCCACGGUAGUCAAUAACAACGAACUGAAAGCCCUAAUUUCCCAGGGAGACAUCGUGGAGUCCUGCGCCCGGUUCUAUGGUGACGCGGAGAGGGAUGCGACGGGGGAGGGGAGAGAGAAACUCCCCAAAAGCUAGCUGACAAUUGCAGACAUGAUCUGAAAAGUCCAAAGAACCAUGAGCUGCUUUCUAAAGAGCCAGAGGACUCCCUGAGGCUUGGGGAGAGGGGAGUCAGGGGUCUGCAGACAGAGGUGAGGAAGAAAUAAGUGGUUGGUGGGGAAGAAGACUUGGCCAUUUAACUGCUGCGUGACUGGGGAAGGGACUUUACCCCUCCUGCCUCAGUUUCCCUGUGUGUGGAAAGGCAGUGACUGCAGAACUCUUGGGUUAAAGCUGUUAAAGCAGGACCCCGUGCACCGUGCUGGGAACGUGGUGGGCUUGCUCUGAGCUGGGUUUAUUGGGUUUUGUUUUCUUAUAGCAAGAACACUUGGCAUGAGGUCUAUGCUCUUAACAGAUUUAUAAGUGUCCAAUCCAGGACUGCUAUCCACAGGUGUCCACAGGCACAGUGUUGUACAGCAGAUCCCUAGAACUCAUGCAUCUUGCAUGGCUGAAUUGCAUGCACCUUGACCGGGGAGUUGCUGGUCAGUGUGCUGGUUCCUGUGCUGCAGCUGUGAUGGCGAGUAUGCUUAAGGCUUCGUAGACAGAUGGGGAUGAGGGCCAUAAGGGUUGGCUGAAGAGCGAGUAAAGGAAAGAAGCAGCCACAAAGGUGGGGCAGGAACAGGAAGAGCCCAGGCAGGUGGUCUGACUCCGCUCACUUUGGAGAUGAGAGUGUCUGUUCAACGAAGAGGUCAGGAUCAAAUUGCACAGUGGUCCCAAAGGCUGCCUGAAAUCUCCAAGGAAGUCCCCGCUGCAGGGCCGUCAAAAGAGAGACACCAGGCCAUGUGCGGCUUGCACAGAGGGAGAGCUUCCAGAAUGCAUGGUUUCCUAGAAAAAGUCAGAGACCUUAGCUUGGUGACACCCUGAGCCCAUGUCCUCACUCGUAAGGUAAGGAUGGCAGUCACCUUCCUCAAAGGGCAGGAAUGAGGAUUAAAUCAGGAAAGGUCUUUCGAGUGUUCAGCACAGUGUCUGAGGUAUAGGAAGUGCUCAAAGAAUACUAACUAUUCUCAUUCCAAAGGGUGUGUCAUUUCUAGCGGUUUUCAAAAUGUGUUUCUGUGGAUUUGAGUAGUAAAAGAUUUUCCCACCAAAGAAAUGUUGUAUAGGGGAGAAGAGGGCAGGCCUGGUUGAUAUGGGGGGGUCAAGGCCCAGAGCCCACCUUGCUCAGACUCCUCCCUCCCCUACGGCCUCUCCCCGGAGAAGCGCCUCCCUGUGCUCUUCAGACCUGGGCUGACCCAGCUGGUCCACUGGGAGGUCCACAGAGGCCAUGCUUUGGCCAGAGUCCGCCAUCUGGCCUCUCCAUCUGGAGCUGAGCUUGGUUUUUGACUGACCAGUUCACUGAACAGCCAGUUUGCUGAGUCGGUUUGAUAAAAGUCAGUGCACAGAAUGUCAUUCUACCAAAUGCCAAGUCAUCAAUGACUAAUUUCUGAGUUUCCCCAAUCAUCAAAAAUUUGCUCCAGUUUUAACUAGAGGUUCACAGCCAUUCGUACUGGAUCCAUGGGUGACGCUGCAGGUGCCUUCUUGUCCUCAGGAUAACCCUUAAGUCUCCCUCUCACUGCCCCCCAAUUCCACCUUCUCUACUGGGGCCCUUCCCCCCAGGUCCCUGCACCCCAAUACUCUGGGUUUCCCAUCCUUACCCUCUGCACCUUGGUUUACCCUGCCUUGCACUCCGCCCUCUGCUGCUGAGGAAGGGGUG